UAAGAUUAGGAAGAAACAAACAUACAUUAUAAAUCCCAAAAUAUUUAGUGUUCUUAUAUUUUGCUGCUGAGGCAAAAUGAGUGGUUCUCAAAAAGGGUCAAAAAAGAAUGAUCUUGCAGACCUUAUGAGGCAAGAUGAUUCCCAUGAGAGGUCUUCUCAUGCUCCAAGCUCAAAGAAGAGCAUGGAAGAAAGCCUCGCAGAUAAUGCUGGUUAUGGCAGCCAUCAUGAAACCCCAAAACCUUCAAACCCAAGAAAGAGCAAGAAAUCUGAUAUUGCAGACCAUGCAAGGCGACCCUGAAAUUGGGUUUACGCUGAUGGGCGAUUCUAAUUCUGGAAGGAAUAUCAAGCUCUAUGAAGUCUUUUAUUUUAUUUACUUUUUUUUGUAUCUGUUGUUUAAAUAAAUGUAAGUUGCUGUGUCGGGGUUUCUUAAGCAGUUUGGUUGGGGAAAAACAUUAAGAAGUCUAAAACUGUCAACAAUUCUUGUUUGAUGUUUAUCCAUAUUGCCAUCAUCCCUUGUAUAAAUAAAACAAAUUAGUUGAU